UUGAAAGGGAAACGAUUGAAGUCAGUCGUACCGGCGGGUAAUCAGCCUUUUGGGUGUGAUUAUGUGGAGCGUGAGGAGCUAAUCGCCUUCAUCUUUGCAUAUUCGUGCACUUUGGGUGUACUUGCUCGUGUGGUAGGUUAACAUCAAUUUUGAUCAUCAUAAAAUGAUUGAAGGAAUGUAGCUUCGAUCUCGUAUUGAAGUGUUAUAGCCUUUGGUAGAUGUGAUGAUCGGGAUUGAGGAUUGCAACGGAUACCCUUCGGGGCUACCCGUCUGAUCUCUGGAAGUUGCUCUGGUGCUGAAAGCUUGCUUAUGGUAUCAAAGUUGACGUUCAAUAGGUUAGAACGGGAUAAAUUCGUUAAGGAUGUUGACGUA
rnacentral:rRNA from 1 species